UGAUGAAUUGCCUCCAUUACGAUUUAUCAGUAAGAUAUUAGUUUUAAUUUCUAGUGAUGUUCAUAAAAAUGAAGUUAUGUCUCAUUCAUUAAAAAAUAAAUGAGUGCUUACAUUUUCCCGUUAAUCAUCUAAAUACUCUCAUUUAAUUAAUAUAAUUAUUUGACACAUCUUAAAUAAAAUAAAUGAAACUCAUUCAUGAUAUUUGAAUAUAUAUGCUCUUCAAUUUAAUUAUGUCAAGAAAGAAAUAAGUAAUUAUCAGUAUGGUAUUUAGAAUACUCGAACAAUUAAAAGAAAAUGAGAUUUAAAGUUAAUCUCCAAUCAAUAAAUCUUCCAUUAAUCUAAAAUAAUUAAAAAAAAUCAUUAUACUAAACUCGAAGAAACAUUUAUUUCAACACAGCAUGUAAUCGAUACAAAAUGCGAAGCAUAGCAUACUUCACAUUUUUUGCAUGGUCGCCAUGGGGGAAUGGGUCUUUUUCAGAAGAGAAGCUGGCGGAGAAAAAUUCCAAGGCGAGGGGCAUUGUUGUCAUAACAAAAUGAGGCUGUUGAGUGCUGAGUUAAUAGAGAAACUGCCCUUAGAGCCAAAUGUAGGGUUGCAUGAGGCACCCAGCGCCGGCAACCUCCACAUUGCAUCACCGGCCUGGUGGAAUGGGAGACACGUGCACCUGCUAGCUGCUGCUUAUGUCCAAUCCACUUCGUCUGGCUUUUACACAGAAAGGCCCAUCUUUCCUGUCAUUUUGCCAAGAUUCUUCCCCUCAGGUUAACGGAAACCACAACGCGUGACAAAAGUUUGCCAGCGCUCCAACAGGGAAGGUCCCAAGCGUGACAACACUUUCUAGCAUCUCUUGCUUGGUGCAAUGAAGAGAAGAUGGUGAGAAUCUUGGCUUUCCAUGCAUGCCACAGACAAGGUUCUACAAUCCACACAUGGAUGAACAUGAUUAGGAGCUUAUCCCUAGCAAGCCUGGCGAGUUUUGGGUAGGCACGACCAAAGCUAUCCAAGAAAAUCCCAUCUGCGUGCCGUAUUUCAAUUUGCUCAGGAGCUUAUUGUCUGGAUAAUUAAUUAUUCCAUGAAAGCUAUCUUCAUAUGCUGUGUGUGGAUGAUAGAGGUUUGAUUCUCGUUGGAGAACGAUAAAAGUGGGGAGAUGUUAUUUUCAUUUCACAGUUGCUUAUCCCACCAUCUGAUCUUUCUCUCUGCCAGCAGCGUUUCUUUUCUCCAUUCUCGCUAGCUCAUGUCAAUAAUUUUGUUGGCGGCAGCAGUACUGUUACUUGCGUUUCACCUUUCUGGGUUUUGACUUCUAGUAUUGCACUCGAUACUUUGAUUUUUCACAGUGCCAAAACUGAUAGUGAGUUGUUGAAGAGAAUAGAGUGCGCCCUACCCCUUCUUUUUUAUUAUAGUUUCUUCCAAUUUGAGAAAUUAAUAUGUACUAUAGAUCUUAGUUUAUUAUUUAUUUUUAUUUCGUAAAAUU